GACGAACGCUGGCGGCAUGCCUAACACAUGCAAGUCGAACGAAAAGCUUCGGGGUUUGGUGGCUCACCGGUUCGUAACGCGUGGGAAUCUGCCCUUGGGUUCGGAACAUCAGUUAGAAAUGACUGCUAAUACCGGAGGAUGACGUUAAGUCCAAGGUUUUAUGGCCUGAGGAUGAGCCCGGAUAGGAUUAGCUAGUGGGUGUGGUAAAGGCGCACCAAGGAGAGGAUCCUUAGCUGGGAUGAGAGGAUGAUCAGCCACACUUGGGCUGAGACACAGCCCAGACUCCUACGCAAGGGGGCAGAGGGGGAUAUAGGGCGAGGGGGGCAGGUCUGAACCAGCAAUGCCGGGUAAGUGGUGAUUGCGUUAGGGAUGUAAUGCCCUUUUACCCGGGAUGAUAAUGACGGUACCGGGAGAAUAAGCCCCGGCUAACUCCGUG
rnacentral:rRNA from 1 species